UCCUCCACAUCGACUUGUUUCGAGGAUC
rnacentral:sRNA from 1 species